UGUUACAAAUAAAUUGUCCCAUUUUAUUGGAUAUUAUUGUUAAAUUACAGUGCUUCAGAACACUCAAAAUAUAUGCUUCACAUUUGAGGAUAUAUAAACUCGGGAAUUAUCAAGUAUAUUUCUAGAUUUCAUUUCAGAAAUUGUAGCCUGGGUGAAGUCACUGAUUUACUAUAACAAAGACAGAGGUAAGAUUAUACAGCAUUAUGGAAUAUUCUUUUAUCACAGGAAUAGGCAAUGAAGUGCCUCACACUUAGGUGAUAUCAGUAAGCUUCUAUAGUUUUUACAAUCUAAAAUUCUCCUUACAUAACAAUUCAUAGUAUUCGUGAAGUUUAGUCUAAGGUCCUUCCAUCUCUAUAAAAAUUAUCAUUCAAUAAUAAGCAGCAGAGGUUAAUAUCUAGAAAAGGAUUGUAAUAAUAUGUGGUCAACCACUAAUAACAAGAGCACUUUUUCAUUGUUGUAGAAUCACUUAUACUCAACUUUCAAAUUAAAGAAAGCACUGUAUAACAAGGGUGCUAAAACCUUCUAUGGAAAGUGGCUCUUGGUAAUGAAAAGUUCUUUUAGUUCUGUUGAGUAUCUGAUAUGUCUGAAUAUGUGAAGAUCAGCCUAGUGUUUGGAAGAGGGUUGUCAGCAAAACUGGGAAACCUAUUAGAAUGAAAACUUAAUAUUCAAGUUCCUAGAGAUAAUGUGGACACAAUUGGUAUUCUAAUAAUGGAUUGGUCAAGGAAAGAGAAAAAAAGUUGUCAAAGAGGUAAUUUUGAAUUACAAUAAAAUAGCAAGUGAAGAAAUUCUUGGUGAUGAGGAUGGCAAAGAAUUUCUAAGAACAGUUAUUUUUAUACAUUGUUGUGUUUUCAUUGCUCUGAUAUAUCCUUUUUUCUCCUACCACCUUUUUCUGUAGCCACAAUUAUUUAGAGAAAUCUACUACACACAAUAUUGUGAGAAGGGAUUUUUUUUUCCUGAAGAGGAUGUGGAUACAGUUGUACAGAAAAGAGGAAAAGUUUAAGGUUCAUAUAAUGCAAAAUGCGGCUAGAUUUUUAGGUUAUUAAUUAUGGUACAUUUAUAGUCUAGAGAUAUAUAGAUAAAUGAUGAUAUAAGAAACAUGAACAACUUCACAAAUUGUUAUCUUUUCUUAUUGAACUCAUGGCAAAUAUUUUUUCUAUUUAAGUAUCAUCAAUUGUAACAAGUACAAAAGAAUUUCACUAAAAGGGAGAAAACCCUUUCUCACCUAGUUUCCAUAAACAACUCUUGAUUUGACUGGAUAAUAGUUAAUUAGGAAUUCUAUUAACUUUAAUUUCAGUGAGUGAUUUUUUUAAAGUUAAAUUUCAUUAAAAAUUGGUGUCAAUGAUAUAUAAUUAGUGAGUUUUAUAAGCUGAUAUCCUUGUCAGUGUUCCUGUACAUUUAAUAUUUGCACUUAACAGUAGUUAUGAUCAUAAUUAUUUUUUGUGUAAGUUUUUCUAGGUUUAGGUUUUACUAAAAAUAUUUGAAACUUCUCGGAGGAACAGUAUAUUGGUGAAUAUAAUUUACUUCCUCAAAGCCCAAGGCUAAAAAUAAUAGGAAAGAAACCAAUCAUGUAAAACUUCAUUGAACAGUGCAACAUUUCUCAACCUGCAAAUGAAAUGAACACUUACUCGAUUUCAACAGAGUUGUAUUUUAAAAGAUUUUUGCCUCAAGUGUAAAUGCUUUAAUUCUUGCCUGGGUAAAUGCAACACUUUUUUACAAGGUAGUGGUAAAUUAAAACUAACUUGAACAGUCUGACUCUUUUGCAUAGAGAAAAGAUUGAAUACGGAUGAAUAAUAAUAAAAAAAAAAUCACUCACAUGUGCAGUUUACUUAGCCACAAAGUGUUGGCUUUAAAGAAGGCUGGAGAUUCAACAAGCAAAUCUGUAACACAUCAUAAAAUAGUGCCCUCAAAAAAACAGACAUUAGAGUUUAGAUUGUUUCAGCAAUGCAUUGAAAAAUAAUAAGUAUGGCACAGAUAUCUGGGAUAUGACACUAGCAGAUGGACUGCACCAGUCUGCAAUAAUCAGGAAUGAAUUGCUGUGUUUGAAUGGUUGAAAUUUAUAAAGUUGGAUGGGUAAGAGAUCCUUGCAGCCAGAGGCUUCAGAAGGACAGACUACUUGCCCAACUACCCAGAAGGAAACAUUAACUUUGUUUCAAUUGCUUACUUGCAUGGGGAAUAAGGCCCUUGGGGUGAAUGUCUUUAGAAACAAAUAUCAACAGUCAAAUUGCUUUACAUGGAUGAUAAUAGCUACUCCUCACAGGUAUCUUUCUCUAAUUCUAUAAGUAUCAAUGCAGUAGGUAAUCAUCAUUUUUUAUUAUUCCUUCAUACCAAAUUUUAGCAUAACCAAAAAUGGUGGUCUACUAAACUACAACCAAAUUGUUAAGUUUGAAUUCUAUGGUAAGUUUGGUUUAUCAUGGCUCAUACAGGUAACCCUGACAAGCACAGAACUAUUAACUUUCCAAGCUGUAAAUUGUCUUUUCUUAUAUACAAAAAAAUCUACUCAGAAAUUCCUGUGUAAAUAAAGACAAAUGGGAAUAUGAAGAACACAGUAAUAUGAUAGAGUUGAGCGCAUAGAUAUCGGAGGGAAGGAGAAUAUGCAAUGUGAAAUAAUCCCUGAUGAAGUUAAACAAGUCAAUUAUGAUAGUGUAAUUUCAUUAAGUAUAAACAAUAAAAAUUGUUCUUUAAUCUCAAAGGAACUUGGCUUUGCCUAAAGAAAAUUUAAAAAAAAAACAGAAAUUCAAGUUAAUUUAAGUAGAUAAUAGUUGCUCUAAUUAUUACUUACCCUAAAUAAAUUCAAGAUUUUUCUCUUAUAAUUCUUGGCAGAAAUGAAGACUUGGUUAUUCAACUGAACAACAUUAAGAAGAGAAUUUGAAAUUAUUUAGCAAAUUAAUAAUA
rnacentral:lncRNA from 1 species